rnacentral:lncRNA from 1 species
GCUAACUGUACAUUUCUUACUUUAUGCCCCCUGCGUAUGUGUUCUCUGGUUUAGAAUUUGGUGGGGAUGUCUACGUGGAGAUAUUGACUUGACAUUUAUUAAAAAAGAAGAAAAGACUGCAAAGGAAAACUAACAAAAUUCACACAUCCUGACUGUGUACGAAUAAUAUGAUGAGACACCCAAAUGCAUUCAGCAGCCUUUCUGUGAAAUAAUAUGCCAAUCUUUAAGGAAAAAAAGUUUCUGGCUUUCCACAGGAGACAUAAAGCAUGAAUAUAUUUUUAUGUAUUUUUUUAAUUGACAAAUAACAUUGUAUGAUUUUGUUGUGUACAACAUGGCAUCCUGAAGUAUAUAUACAACGACUAAAUCUAGCUAAUUAACAAAGGCAUUACCUCUCAUAGUUAUCAUUGUUGUGCUGAGAGUAUAUAACACUCAUUCUUUUUAUAUUUUUAAAGAAUAUUAUAUAUUGUCAUUAUCUAUAGUCACCUUGCUGUACAGAGAUCUGAAAUGUAUUACUUCUGUCUAACUGUACCUAUGUAUUCCAUGACCAAUAUCUCCCUAUCUCAUUUCCUCUAAAAACCCCAGCCUCUGGGAACCAUCAUUUUCCUCUCUACUUCAAUGAAAUGAACUUUUUUUCAAUUUCAUGUAUCAGUGAAAGAUCAUGUGGUAUUUGUAUUUCUUUGCUUGUCUUAUUUUCCGUAACAUAAUGUCUUCCAGGUUCAUCUAUGUGUUUACAAAUGGUAGAAUUGCAUUUUCUUUCAGGCUGAAUAAUAUGCCAUUGUGUAUAUAUUAUAUAUUUUCUUUAUCCGUCACCCACUGAUGGACCUUUAGGUUAAUUCCAUAUCUCAGCUACUGUGAAUAGUAUUACAAUAAACAUGAGAAAGCAGUUAUUUGGGGCAUCCGAUUUCAUGUCCUUUGCAAAUAUACCCAAUAGCGGGAUUGCAGAACCAUAGAGUACUUUCUAUUUUUCAUGUUUUUAGAAAGAGAGUUGUUCAUAAUGACUGUACUAAUUUUCAUUCCCAUCAACUGUGUAUAACUGUUCCCUUUUCUCCAUAUUGUUGUCAAUAUAUAUCUUUUGUCUUUUAAUAAUAGCUAUUUGAACUGGGAUGAGGUAGUAUUUCAUUGUCGUUUUUGAUUUGUGAAGUUGAGUAUUUUUUACUUAUCUGUUGGCCAUUUGUACAUUUUCUUUUAAGAAAUGUCUAUUCAGGUCUUUUGCCUAUUUUUUAAUUAGGUUAUUAUUAUCAUUAUUAUUAUUUUUGCAAAAGCUAGUGGUAUCACACUAUCUGACUUCAAAAUAGACAACAAAUUAUAGUAACAAAAAUAGCAUGGUAUUGGCAUAAAAACAGCUACAUAGACCAAUGUAACAAGACAGAGAGCCCAGAAUAAACUGCAUUUACAGCCAAUUGUUUUUUGACAAAAAUACGAAGAAUGCACACUGGGAAAAGGAGAGUUUCUUUAAUAAAAUUUUUGAGAAAACUAGAUAUCUACAUGCAGAAGAAUUAAAUUAAACCUUAUCUCUUUGCCUAUAAAAGUCAACUAGAAGUGGAGUAAGAAAUUAAAUGUAAGACCUGAAACUAUGAUAGCACUAGAAGAAACACAAGGACAAUGCUUCAUGCAGUUGGUCUGGGCAAGAAUUUUUUGAAUAUGUCAUCACAAACCUAGGCAGCAAAAACAAAAAUAGACUAAUGGGGUGACAGCAAACUAAAAAUCUUCCACACAGCAAAAGAAACAAUCAACAAAGUGAAAACAGAAUUACAUAAUAGAAGAAAAUAUUUGAAACUAUACAUCUCACAAGGAGUUAAUAUCCCAAUAUAUAAGGGAGUCAAAGCACAGACUUAAAAUCUUAGUGUAAACUAUCUAUUUAACUUUUUUAAAAAAUUAGACUUCAUUAAAUUAACUUCAUUGUUAUCUAUUUUAUUAGUUUUUAAGAAUAUGUCUUUCUUAUUAUUUUGGAAAGAUUUUUUCUUAAGGGCAAUUUAGAAGUUUUUUCUCAUAUAAUUCUGAUAAAUUGACUGUAAAACAUUUGUUACAUGAAAGCAAGCAGAGUCUAAAAAAAAAGUCAGAUGGUAAGUAAAAUUUUCAUGAAAAUGAAAGGCACCUCCAAAGCACCAUUUGCAUACAUCAGUGUGCUAAUGCUACUUUCCCAAUAUCACCUGCAGCUUCUUACAUCUCUAAUGGAAAUUGAAUGAAUUCACAGAUUAUUAGCUUGUAGGAGCCUUAGUAGAGAAUAAAAUCUUAGCAGGUUUAGCAUAUUCUGUGGCAGCAGUACACAAUACUAAAGUAGCUAAAGAGUCUUGGCUUGUCUGCUUAAGUGCAUAUAUCUUAUUUUAAUAUUUUUAGUGCCAUUUUCCAAAUUAAAUAUUGAAGUGGUCUUGUUUUCACUGAAUAGAAUAAGAAAUGGCCCCUUUGCAUUAGGACUGGGAAAGAAAACAUUUCUACUUAAAAAGCAUUAGCGAUGCAAUGUGGUGCGUUUUUGAGUUGCAUUUUAUCAAUUUAUUUGACUUGAAAUACAGCGAUAUAUAAAUGUUAGUAGUCACUAAGCACAUGGCAGGCAGGUGCAGCAUGCUUUGCCAGUGGAGAGCUGACAUUUUUAUGAGAUUGCUCAGCUGGAAUGGCAAAGGAGCAUUGGAGAAGUAAGAGAGAAACAGCUGUCACCCACUCAUUUUAUUUUCAAUUGUAGUAUCUUGGAGGGAAAGAAAUUACAUUAAAAUGAAAUAUCUAUCAUGAUUGAGAUAGAGGCAUUAUAUCCAUGCUGUUUGAAUCCAUUACCUUUACAUUGAAAGAAUUUUAAAUGCAUAAUAAUAUGUCUUAUCAGGAUAUAUUCAGAGAAAUAUGUGUUUAUUGAGCUGAAAUGCAUUAUAUAUUAUGUAUGGUAACCACAAUCUAAAAUUACAUGUUUUUUUUUCUUUGUGAUAAUGUGAAUACCUUAAUUGAGCCUCAUUCUCUUUUCCAGUACCUCUUUUGACAAAUGCUAGGCAUGGUUAAGAGAACAAUGUAAGAUUCUAGAAUAAAGAAAUGCAAAGAAAAAUACAUGUUACCCAAACUGAUAAUCUUGUCAUUUGAAAUAAGCAACUGAGCUAGUGGAUCAAUCAAGUACACCAAGAAAACAAACCAAUAUAGAGAAACUCUGAUAAAGAGACUACAAUGGGGGGGUUGGUUACAAAAAGGACAAACUACUAAGGAGGACAGAGUAUUCGGCAGUCUUCCAGAAGGACAAAUGCAUUAGGAUUUGAAAAAUAUAAUUAUAUUGCAAAAGUGAAAAGAAAAUCAUUCCUAAUAAAAUAUAUUUGAGAAGCAUUAUGAAAAGGUAUAAAUUAAUUACAUAUAGGUGGGAAACGGAAGAAAACCUCUUUUGUAAAACCAAGUGAAAAUGAUUGCCAAUGAUGUUUAUAAAGAGAUUUGAAGGCUGGGUGCAGUGGCUCACACUUGUAAUCCCAGGACUUUGGGAGGCUGAGGCGGGCAGAUCACCUGACAUCAGGAUUUUGAGACCAGCUUGACCAACAUGGAGAAACCCCGGAUCUACUAAAAAUACAAAAUUAGCUGGGCAUGGUGAGACAUGCCUGUAAUCCCAGCUACUCAGGAGGUUGAGGCAGGAGAAUCACUUGAACACUGGAGGCAGAGAUGGCAGUGAGCCGAGAUCACACCAUUGCACUCCAGCCUGGGCAACAAGAGUGAAACUUCAUCUCAAAAGAACAACAACAAAAAUAAAUUAAAAAAUAAAGAGAUUUGAAAUCAUAGACUGGAGAUGAUUAAGUGGGUCACAAUGUUAUCUUUGUUUCUGCAGCUUACCUCUAACCUUACCCCCACAACCAAGACAAAUCCAAGAUUAUGAAACUUUGGUUGGCGAAGACUUUGUGAUUUUAUUGACAGCAUAAUGUAGGACAAGUGGCUUUCAGAAAAAUGACAUCAGAGAAAGAAUGGAUGUACCACUUUUACAUUAAAAUAAUUCUACCAAAUUAGAAAUGCAUGUAUUAUGAUAUUAUAGAAGAAAGUAGUUAAUACCCAGAAAUAGGGGAUUUCUUGAGCUCCUCUCUUCCAUCUAUUUUGAGUUACAUCUUAUACCUCCUCCUUUCUGUAGAGGGAUUGGACUUGAGAUUUAAAAGAAAAAAUUAUUGAUUCACUGAAGAUUCUUGUUCUCAAGUCAAAAAAGGAGCCUCAACAAAAGCAAAAUAAAAGGAACCAUGGAAAGAGAAGAGGAGAGGAAAUCUUCAGAAAAAAGCAGCAGCCUCCAGAAGCACCAUUUGAAAGAUUUUGGUAGAAAGGCUGUAAAGGAGAGACACAGCUAACCUGGACAUAUGAUGAUUUACAUCUCACUCACAAACCUGGAGCUGUCAGCCAAGUUCUGAUGAAACAAUCUCUUGGGGGAUGAUUAUGUACAUCUUUGCAAAAAAAUGGAAAACUCUUUUCCCACAUCUCAUCACCAUAAAUAAGAGAGAAAUAGUUAUUGUGAAUUACACCUCAAUGAAGAGAUGUAGGCCUAGACAGCAACAGGCUACGUGACUGAAAAAAAAAAAGUAAUUGAUGUUAAUCAGUCUGACUUCUAUGUUUUCCAAGGUUAUUUAGAGAUCAAUUUUUGAAAAAGAAAAGCAUUUAAUGAACUAAUUUACUCAGUAAUAAUAAAAUGCAGGCAUAAAAGGUAAUGCAAAUAUCUGUUGAAUAACUAAUAUAAGCCAGGCCUUAUUAUAGGUGGGGAUAUAGCAGUAAAUAAAAUAGACAAAGUCCUGUCCAUAUGUUGAUUAUAUACCAGUGGAGAUGUGCUACAUAUAACAAAUUGGAAUAACAUGAAUAAGGAGGAAGAAAAGCAAGAGGAAGAAAAAUGGUGCAAACUGCAAAGCUACCUGAGAGAAACGACAAUAAGCUGUCAAACGGAUAUCUUACAAGUUGAGCAUGUGUUGCUUUGACAAAUUUGCUUCCAUGGUAGUAUCACCCAAUAAAAAUGAACUUCUUAGAGAUAAAAAAUUAAACAAAUUCAUUAUUUUAAAAGUGAAAUUAAAUUUAUUAAUUCACAAUAAAAGGACAACCUAUUAUCAUAUAUUCUCUCUCCAGGCAAAGGUUAAAGUAGCAUUUUUAAAGAAAUAUUUAUUUUUAAGUUACAGAGUACACAUGCAGGAUGUGCAGGUUUGUUACAUAGGUAAACGUGUGCAUUGGUGAUUUGAUGCACCUAUAAACCCAUCAUCUAGGUAUUAAGCCC